rnacentral:rRNA from 1 species
UCAGGCCUAACACAUGCAAGUCGAACGAUGAAGCUGGAGCUUGCUCCGGUGGAUUAGUGGCGAACGGGUGAGUAACACGUGAGAAAUCUGCCCUUGACUCUGGGAUAACUGCGGGAAACUGUAGCUAAUACCGGAUAUUUUCCUUGGUGGGCAUCCACUGGGGAAGAAAGAAUUUCGGUCAAGGAUGAUCUCGCGGCCUAUCAGCUAGUUGGUGAGGUAAUGGCUCACCAAGGCGACGACGGGUAGCCGGCCUGAGAGGGUGACCGGCCACACUGGGACUGAGACACGGCCCAGACUCCUACGGGAGGCAGCAGUGGGGAAUAUUGCACAAUGAGGGCAAGCCUGAUGCAGCAACGCCGCGUGAGGGAUGAAGGCGUUCGGGUUGUAAACCUCUUUAGCAGGGAAGAAGCGAAAG